rnacentral:rRNA from 1 species
AGCAGCCGCGGUAAUUCCAGCUCCAAUAGCGUAUAUUAAAGUUGUUGCAGUUAAGAAGCUCGUAGUUGAAUUUCGGGACCAAUCUGCCGGUCGUGCCUCCGGUACGCACUGGUUUUAUUGGUUUCUCCCUUCUGACGAACCAUGAUGUCAUUAAUUUGGUGUCAUGGGGAAUCAGGACUGUUACUUUGGAAAAAAUUAGAGUGUUUAAAGCAGGCUCACGCUUGAAUACAUUAGCAUGGAAUAAUGAAAUAGGGCGUUUGAUUCUAUUUUGUUGGUUUCUAGGAUCGACGUAAUGAUUAAUAGGGAUAGUUGGGGGCAUUAGUAUUCAAUUGUCAGAGGUGAAAUUCUUGGAUUUAUUGAAGACUAACUACUGCGAAAGCAUUUGCCAAGGAUGUUUUCAUUAAUCAAGAACGAAAGUUAGGGGAUCGAAGACGAUCAGAUACCGUCGUAGUCUUAACCAUAAACUAUGCCGACUAGGGAUCGGAUGAUGUUAAUUUUUUUAAUGACUCAUUCGGCGCCU